rnacentral:lncRNA from 1 species
GUAACGAUUGAUUGGAGCUGCUGGAGAUCAAGUAGGUCAGCUGGUCACGCCGUACCCGGUGACGUCAUGACGCUCGGCCCACACAAUGAUAAGACUAUCCUCCUGAGACCCAGCAGCGCACACGGUGGAACAGGAUGAGCACGAGGCUGAAGGAUGAAGGUCACAUGAGAGCCAUGGCCAGGUUUAAAAACAAAAGGAUGGAAAACUCCAAGCCGGAGUCUGAGAGGGACUCGGGCUUCUCAGACGGCGGCUCGGUGGAUCAGACGGACACAGACGAUGUGUCACGGUCGUCCUCACGAUCGUCGCAGCUGACCGCAGUGGUUGGUGGAGCUCUGCAGGGCCUCUCGCCAAUGAUCUUCAUGAACAAUGUGGUUCUAAAGCAGGUGAACUUCAGACCUUCUGCGUUUGCUUUUGUCCUCAUGGGUCCUUGUGAUUUUUCAGAUGAAUUCCAAUUUAAUGUUUUGCCACGAUUUAAUUUUUUAGAUGGCGAUUUUGAAUAA